GACAGAGGUGCCAAGCGUUAGGCGGAAUCACUGGGCUUAAAGCGUGUGUAGGCGGAUCGUUAAGUACCUUGUGAAAUCCCACGGCUCAACCGUGGAACUGCUGGGUAUACUGGCGAUCUUGAGCCACCUAGGGGCGAGCGGAACAAGCGGUGGAGCGGUGAAAUGCGUAGAUAUCGCUUGGAACGCCAAUGGUGAAAACAGCUCGCUGGGGGUGUGCUGACGCUGAGACCCGAAAGCCAGGGGAGCGAACGGG
rnacentral:rRNA from 1 species